GAUGAACGCUAGCGGCAGGCUUAAUACAUGCAAGUCGAGGGACAGCACAGGUAGCAAUACUGGGUGGUAACCGGCAAACGGGUGCGGAACACGUACACAACCUUCCUUUAAGUGGGGGAUAGCCCAGAGAAAUUUGGAUUAAUACCCCGUAAUAUAGUUGAAUGGCAUCAUUUGAUUAUUAUAGCUACGGCGCUUAAUGAUGGGUGUGCGGCUGAUUAGAUAGUUGGCGGGGUAACGGCCUACCAAGUCUACGAUCAGUAGCUGAUGUGAGAGCAUGAUCAGCCACACGGGCACUGAGACACGGGCCCGACUCCUACGGGAGGCAGCAGUAAGGAAUAUUGGUCAAUGGACGCAAGUCUGAACCAGCCAUGCCGCGUGAAGGAUUAAGGUCCUCUGGAUUGUAAACUUCUUUUAUUUGGGACGAAAAAGGGCCUUUCUAGGUCAACUGACGGUACCAGAUGAAUAAGCACCGGCUAACUCCGUGCCAGCCGCCGCAGUAAUAC
rnacentral:rRNA from 1 species